CAGUCGCCACGGUAAUACGAAGGGGGCUAGCGUUGUUCGGAUUUACUGGGCGUAAAGCGCACGUAGGCGGACUUUUAAGUCAGGGGUGAAAUCCCGGGGCUCAACCCCGGAACUGCCUUUGAUACUGGGAGUCUUGAGUUCGAGAGAGGUGAGUGGAAUUGCGAGUGUAGAGGUGAAAUUCGUAGAUAUUCGCAGGAACACCAGUGGCGAAGGCGGCUUACUGGCUCGAUACUGACGCUGAGGUGCGAAAGCGUGGGGAGCAAACAGGAUUAGAUACCCCAGUAGUCCCUGUCUCUUAUAC
rnacentral:rRNA from 1 species